rnacentral:lncRNA from 1 species
CAGACAUCAAAGAUAACACGGAGCACUUCAUAAAUUGAAACAUGUCUCAGGGUAUUCUUAUGAGUAGACGCCAUCCACUAAGUUAAGAAAAACGGAGCACACAACCCGAACUCUAACUCAUAUCAAUUUCAGCGGUUUCACUAAGACAUUAUAUUUUCCCGAUGGCAAGCUAUCGUAAAUAAGCACGAGCGAACAAAAGAUAGGAAAAUCGAGUUAUCCUGCUUCAAAUGAGGCAAGACUUGAGAUGGUACUGCUUUUGUGGAAGCCUCGCGGCAGUGAUGUAAGGGAACGGGCCGAGCCUUAUCUGGACGACCUAAAUUACAUACAUACCACAGUAGUAGCUGUACGUAGUUUCCACUCCGUUGUGCUCAUGCUAUGGCAUUUAUUUUCCCGGGAUGAUGAAGAGGACAGUGGCUUCGAAUAAGGGCGUCGGUUAGAGUCCAAUCGAGAGAUGUCAACACAUGAAUGGCGCGUCAAAGGCUCACAUCCCGAUGCAAGACAUUUCUAUUGCGUUUCUACUAGAUAAACCGGCAUCAACCGACGUACCUAGGCAGCAGAUUCCAUGUAGAGGCGAGCGUCGGGAUCUGUGCCGCCAAUCAAAGUGAGGCUAUUGGUGAUACAUCUUGACCCCA